GAUUUUAGAGCCUAAGAAAAUAAAAUCUAUCACUGCUUCCACUUUUUCCCUUUCUAUUUGCCAUGAAAUACACCAGGCCAUAUAAUGUUUUUACUAGCCUAGUUGUACCCAACAGCAGAACUCUAGUCAAAUAAAUAAAAAGUAAUAUUCUUUACCGCCAACUUGAACUGAUUUAUUCUCCUUUGUUGCUGAAUAUUGUAAAAUCUUAAUAGCAAAAUCUAAUUUAGUAAGAUUUAGGGACCUCAAAGCCUUAGGAUCAUUUUCUUCACCACAGGAUCAAUUUGAAUACUAUUAAGUAGAUGAGUAUAUAUAGAUAUAGAUAGAUACUGCAAAUUCAUGGAGCAUUAUUUGUGAAUAUAGUUCUGUAUCAAAAUAAAUAAAUAAAAAUUAAAGAUAAAAAUGAGGCCUGCUAAAAACCUGUUGAGGGAAAAUACUCUCCUCUUAGCUUUGAAUGCCUUUCUGCAUUGCCAUGGAUUCAGCCAUCUGAACUGUUUUAUUAUUUAGGUGCUCUCCAUGUAGUUAUUUAGGGCUGUCUUAUGCUCUUUAUAAAUGUGAAGAAAGUUUUGUGUUGUGAGAAGAGGUUCACAGCUUUGCUUCUGUUCUGUAUAAUAUAUUUCAUAUCAGCGAUGAUCAGCAGGGAAUUUGGGUUGGGAUGUAGAAUGAAAAGAUUAGCUAUUUAAUUAUUAAUUAAAUAUUUGGUUCUAGUAUCUGUCACAUACACACCCACACAUACACACACACACACACACACACGUGCAUCACACACAGAGCAGCCUGUGUCAUUUAGAUGUCCCUUGCUAUUGUGUUGCCAGAUUGGGAGAAUAAACUGUGGUAUGAUCUGCUUUAGACUAGAGCAAGGAAUUUUAAUACUUGAAGUGGACUGAAAAGUUAGAUACACCCAGUGUUUAGCACAAGAUUAUGUGGACAGCCAGUAUUGUACUGAUGAAUGUGAAAGUGGUCUAAUCCGGUACUAUUCAACAGUACUUUCCGUGGGGAUGGAAAUGUUCUGUAUCUCCACUGUCUAAUGUGGUUGAAACCAGCCAUGUUUGGCUCUUGAGCCCUUGACAUAGUGUGACUGAGGAACUGAAUUUUAAAUUUUGUUUAAUUUCAAUUAAUUUCAAUAGCUAAUAGAUAAUAGGGUGUUCUUUAACAAUCACCUUAGAAUAUAGGUAACAGAGUAAAGUUAUUUUGCCCAGCAGGUCUACUCUAUAAAACAGAAAAUUGCCAGCAGCUUGACUAGGACAUAGGUCGUUUGUUCACACAUCUAUUCCACAAAUAUUAAAUAGUUACUCUAUACUGUUGUUGUUCUGUUGCCCAGUCAUGUCCGACUCCUUGUGACCCCAUGGACUGCAGCACGCC
rnacentral:lncRNA from 1 species